GGGAGAACCAGGGUUCCUCGGACCUCAAGGGGAACCAGGACUGCCGGGCCUUCCAGGAACCAAGGGCGAGAGAGGGGAGCUGGGGCCACCAGGAAAGGGCGAGCGAGGAGAGACCGGCCCUGCUGGACAGAAGGGGGCGCAAGGAGAGGC